AUAACUCUGGGAUGUUCGCCAGUACGUCUAUUCCCCUGCCGAUACUUAAACUUACGGAUGCGUUCUGUGUAUUUUGAGUGUAUGCCCACCCCGAGUGGGAAACCCAUUAAGUACGCGUCGUGUCCACCUUGAACUCAUCGGGUUCAGGGUAACGACCAUGCAGCGGCAUCUUCGGAGUUCUU
rnacentral:other from 1 species